rnacentral:rRNA from 1 species
UCCUUCGGGAGGGGAUUAGUGGCGAACGGGUGAGUAACACGUGGGCAAUCUGCCCUGCACUCUGGGACAAGCCCUGGAAACGGGGUCUAAUACCGGAUACUGACCCGCUUGGGCAUCCAAGCGGUUCGAAAGCUCCGGCGGUGCAGGAUGAGCCCGCGGCCUAUCAGCUUGUUGGUGAGGUAAUGGCUCACCAAGGCGACGACGGGUAGCCGGCCUGAGAGGGCGACCGGCCACACUGGGACUGAGACACGGCCCAGACUCCUACGGGAGGCAGCAGUGGGGAAUAUUGCACAAUGGGCGAAAGCCUGAUGCAGCGACGCCGCGUGAGGGAUGACGGCCUUCGGGUUGUAAACCUCUUUCAGCAGGGAAGAAGCGAAAGUGACGGUACCUGCAGAAGAAGCGCCGGCUAACUACGUGCCAGCAGCCGCGGUAAUACGUAGGGCGCGAGCGUUGUCCGGAAUUAUUGGGCGUAAAGAGCUCGUAGGCGGCUUGUCACGUCGGUUGUGAAAGCCCGGGGCUUAACCCCGGGUCUGCAGUCGAUACGGGCAGGCUAGAGUUCGGUAGGGGAGAUCGGAAUUCCUGGUGUAGCGGUGAAAUGCGCAGAUAUCAGGAGGAACACCGGUGGCGAAGGCGGAUCUCUGGGCCGAUACUGACGCUGAGGAGCGAAAGCGUGGGGAGCGAACAGGAUUAGAUACCCUGGUAGUCCACGCCGUAAACGGUGGGCACUAGGUGUGGGCGACAUUCCACGUCGUCCGUGCCGCAGCUAACGCAUUAAGUGCCCCGCCUGGGGA